rnacentral:lncRNA from 1 species
AAAGGCAACAACAAAUGGGGAGACCUCAGCUCCGCUCUCGGGCUCAAACGGACCCUCAGUUGGCUUUCUUCUUGCUAAAAUGGCUAGAGUUUGAGCGAGAACUGGCCACAGACCCAUAUGACUCCGAUUAUGUCGCCCCUAUAUCUUUGUGCACUAGUGGUCCAAUGCAGAAUCAAAUGGAUGAACUUCUCAUCAUUGGGCUAGAAGAAGCUGUCAUGGACAUGUGACCGGGACUGCUGUUAUAGUGGAGUGGUUUUGCCCACGGGGACACAAGUUGUGGAUGUGAAACAACCAGCCGUUGCUCAAACAUGAUACAGCAUUCCUACUGCGUACCAGCUGUUACCCUUGUUAAGUAAUAAACUGCAUGUAUUUGCAAAUCCUCAAAUAGCUAACAUGCAUCUGUAUUUCUGUUUUAGCUGACGAAUGGAGUCCUCAGGUAAUUCAGUGGUUUAUGUGCUUUGUCUCUGGACUUUUUUUUUCCGUAAGUAAAUCUGAAUAAUUUUUGUAUUUGAGAUAAUGAUAAUGUAAUGUUUGUGUUUUAUAACAAGGAGAGAUUCAUGGAGAGGGGUGUUUUCCAUUCCCUACGCCCCGGAUCUACCUUUGCCUUUUCAUAUGAAGCCAGGACAUUUCUUGCAGCGUUGGACUACAACCACCACAACCACAAAGGCCAAGUGUUGUAAGUGAUUACUUUAUGACUUUCCUAUAUAAUGCAUGUUUUGGGAACUAAUGUCAUAAUUUGUUCUGCAGGCAAGAACGACUGUACAGCAAGAAGUCACAGACCGGAUACAAAGAGG